GGCUAGCUGAACCAGACAUCAUGGCCAGACAAUAACAAUGCAUGUUUGAACGCUUACAAGGUUUUUAUAGAAAGAUUUCGUUGAUGUUUGGUUUCUCCGCGGAGUUUUGAUCCUCCGAGCAGACAAGUUUGCUGUAUACACUGAUGUUUGAGCUUGGGAAAAGCCACUUGACUCCAAUACCCAGCUCAGGCAGUCUGCAAUGCUCAAAGAAGUGAGGACUUUGAGUUCUUGAUGACUGCAGUGACCAUGACUAAGAUGUUGAACCAGAUGGCCUAGAUCCAGAACUGACUCAUGGCGUUCAAAACUACAUGGAUCAAGGACGAGUUUGCCAUAUGCAGUCGCUGAUGUUGGAACUUGGGACAACCAGUUUGAAUACAUUGCCCAGCACAGGCAGUCUGGUAUGCUGGGAACAGUUAGGGCAUUGAGUGAGAUGGCCAAGAACCUGAACUGAGACAUAUGGAGGUGCAAAACAGCAUGGAGCAAGAUGUGCAUUGCCCCAUCACCUUUGUCCAACCUGUCCUGGCCUGACUUGUAACAGAUAUCGGGAUUCCCUGCUGGAGUAGUCGAGUGCUUACUUCUCGGGUUCCAGCACCAAUGAUUGCUUUUCCAAGGCUACAACUACAUUCAGAAGAUGAUAGUCAACAGUCAGCUUGUGAUGUAAGAAACAGGCAUUCAUCCGGCGAAUAUAAACCAGCACACCUUAACUGCUUGUUUUCAUGUGCAGUGCUCUUGGAAAGUGCAGGGAGUUAACUUUGCUGGAACAGGUGCUUACCCUUCAGUCGGCUCAAUUGGUAGAGCCAAAGUCACUGCCAGCGCUCAUGAAAAGGACAGACACCCUGGAGAUGUGAACCACUGACUCACAUGAUCAGUUUCCCAUCUUGAGCAGCACUAAAGGCAACCUCAUUAAAGCCUACUUUCUGGAAUACAUCAGUGUGCAGAGCUUAUACGUCAAGUUUAAGACUUACAAUUCAUCUCAUGUACAGUGAUACAACAUUUAAACAAAACCGUAUUAUGACUGAAAAAUCUAAACAAAAACAAAAUGUGUUGUUGCCUUAUGCCAGUGUGAUGGCACUAAAUUGCUUCUUUUUCAAGGAUGAGGCUUUGUUGACUGCUUUAAUAAAUAUGUAAUGUAAACUUACCUGCUCAACUAUGAAAUUAUGUGAAUCAAAUAUUGUGUACAACUACUGCUGGCCUGAUUAAAAAAACUCAAUAUGAAGCUUCAUUUUUUAAUGUUUUCGCAAAAAUUAUGUCCCGGUUCUAAUCAGUGACUUCUUUGAUUAGCUAAUGUUUAACGUCUGUUCAGUUUGGUUGCUUUUUUGAUCGAGUAAGUUAUUUAGCAAAUACAGUGUACUUUUCUACUCAUUUUGCUUAGAAUAAAGUUACUGUUAAAAAUGAAUCAGAUAUCUUAGAUGAACAAUGUCUAAUGUUUUUUUUAAUUAAAAUCUCUUGUCAUAAGUACAGUUUUCAAAAUUUCAUAUGUAUUGCGCAAAAUGUUUGUUCGUUCGAAUUCAAGUGAUUCAACAGUAUAUAAAUUAAUAUUUAAUAAAAACAGCUUUAG